GACGAGGGGUCCUAGCGUUGUUCGGAAUCACUGGGCGUAAAGCGCAUGUAGGCGGCUUUUCAAGUCAGAUGUGAAAAGCCCCAUGGCUUAACCAUGGAAGUGCAUUUGAAACUGUAAAGCUUGAGUAUUGGAGAGGAUGGUAGAAUUCCUGGUGUAGUGGUGAAAUACGUAGAUAUCAGGAGGAAUACCGGUGGCGAAGGCGCACUGCAAAUACUGACGCUGAGAAUGCGAAAGUGUGGGGAUCAAACAGG
rnacentral:rRNA from 1 species